rnacentral:rRNA from 1 species
GAUGAACGCUGGCGGCGUGCCUAAUACAUGCAAGUCGAGCGAACAGACGAUGAUCUUGCUCCUCUCACGUUAGCCGCGGACGUGUGAGUAACACGUGUAUAACCUACCUAUCUGUCUGAGAUCACUUCGGGAAACCGGAUCUUAUACCGGAGAAUAUAUUGAACCACGGGGUUCAAUAGUGAAAUACGGUUUUGCUGUCACUUAUAGAUGGUUCCCGGCUGCAUUGGCUAGUUGGUACGGUAACGGGUUUCCAAGGCUACGAUGCGUAGCCGAGGUGAGAGAGGGAUCGGCGACCCGGGAAGGGGAACAGGGUCCAGAGGACUGCGGGAGGCAGCAGUAGGGAAUCUGCCGCAAUGGGGGAGAGCAUGACGGAGCAGCGCCGCGUGAGAGAUAAAGGUCUUCGGAUCGUAAAACUCUGUUAUUAGGGAAGAACAAAUGUGUAAGUAACUAUGCACGUCUUGACGGUACCUAAUCAGAAAGCCACGGCUAACUACGUG